UACACAAGGCUUUUGUUGGUGCGAUGCAGUUUAUAUUGAUGGUGCGGUUCACUCAAACACCGCACCUUUACAUCUUGCUUUACAAAUUCCACCAACUUUAAAUCUUCCAUUUACAUUUUCCCCCCUUUUGUUGCCCUGUUCCCGCUUGUUUCCAUUUACGUUUUCCCUCCCUCAUGAAUUUCUCACUCUCACAAACCCUAAUCGAACCCCAACCCUCUCUAUUACAUCCAUCUGGUUCCCUUUAGCACCUCUCACUACGGAUACCUUCCAGUGCACCAUCGUUGCCCUCUAUUGCACCGUCGUUUCCCUUUAGUUCAGCGCAUCUCUACUGUCCGUUGUGUCCAGUUGUCCACUAAGUUCAUAUGAGUUGAGUUGGAAAUGGUGAAGAUUCAUGUACUUGCAAAGGAUAAAAGUUGGAACUGUUGAAUGCGCUUCAGGAGCAAAGUUUUGAGAGGGUAAAUGUUAACAUAAGCAAAACCAAAUCCAUUAGUUAUUGAUUUGAUUAGAGUAUUCUGCCCUUCAAUUUGAGAGCACCAAAUGCAAUCCUAUUCCGUUUGCGAGUCAAGUAAGGUCUAACAGGUAUAUGAAUUAAAUCCGGGUAAUGUCUCUUCAAUUAACCAGGUCCUGGGGCUACCGCAUAUAAUCUUAUUUUUUAUUACACGACAAGAAGUCCUUUGAAAGAAUCUCCUUCGCUAGAAUGGUUUGUGAAAGGUGGUGAUACUUUUAGAAAUUCAAGAUUUAAGCUCACGCCAUACAUGUCUAAGCGCUCGAGAAUGACAAUUUUGGAGCUGAAAUCGUAGAAGCUAACGAUGAUGAGGAUGAUUCCAUUGAUGAAGAUGAUGACAAGCCAUCACGAUUGAUUGGAACUAAAUCGUUUGGAUGUGUUAUUGUUGAAGAAAAGGACUUCAUGCAUGGCUUCAAGUUACGGGAAGAAGAUGUGAAACUUCCGCAAUACAAAAAUGACGAUUUAGUCUUAAAUUUAAUCCCGGAAUUGAUUUCAAGGCGUUUGAUGGCCCAGAAUGAAAUUGUGAAAAGCGUCUCAAGCUAGUUGAUGCAUUCGAAAUGAUGGGGAAGGACUCCGGUUCAGCCCGAGUUUUCUACUAUAGUGCAUUUUCUCUAGAGGAUCAAUUCUUGUGGAAGGUGCAACUCCUGCCAUGUGGCAAAAGGCUGGAAAUUUUCUCGGGGACAGCUUAACGUCCCUCUCGACCAGGCGUGGACCCGGUUAAGACAACAUAGUUCUGAUAAUUAGUGGUGGCGGGCUGCGUCUUGCGGGUGUAAAUUAGCCGUUUGUUAUGAAGUUCACCUUAAAAAAAAAAAGCAAAAAAAAAAACCCUUUCUUUCUAUUAUUAUGUAAUUACCUGGGUCAAACACGCUUGAUUAUCGUUCGGCUCACCCUCACCAUAUAUAUAUGUGAAAAACAACUCAUUUAUUAAUAUGGCUUGACCCGAUAUAGAAAUGUCUCUUAACUAUUG